AGAGUUUGAUCAUGGCUCAGGACGAACGCUGGCGGCGCGCCUUACGCAUGCAAGUCGGACGGACCUUCGGGUUAGUGGCAGACGGCUGAGUAACGCGUAGGUAACCUGUCCAGUGGUGGGGGAUAACCCUUCGAAAGAAGGGCUAAUACCGCAUAAGUUCCAGGAGUGAGAGACUCCUGGAGGAAAGCCGCAAGGCGCCACGGGAGGGGCCUGCGUCCUAUCAGGUAGUUGGUGAGGUAAUGGCCCACCAAGCCUGUGACGGGUAGCUGGUCUGAGAGGACGACCAGCCAGAAGGGGACUGAGACACGGCCCCUACUCCUACGGGAGGCAGCAGCGAGGAAUCUUGGGCAAUGGGCGAAAGCCUGACCCAGCGACGCCGCGUGGAGGAUGAAGGCCUUCGGGUUGUAAACUCCUUUUGCCGGGGAAGAAGUUCUGACGGUACCCGGCGAAUAAGCCACGGCUAACUACGUGCCAGCAGCCGCGGUAAUACGUAGGUGGCUAGCGUUGUCCGGAUUUACUGGGCGUAAAGGGCUUGUAGGCGGUUCGUUAAGUCCGGUGUGAAAUCUCCCGGCUCAACCGGGAGCGGCCAUCGGAUACUGGCGAGCUAGAGGUGGGCAGAGGAAGGCGGAAUUCCCGGUGUAGCGGUGAAAUGCGUAGAUAUCGGGGAGGAACACCAGUGGCGAAGGCGGCCUUCUGGGCCUAUCCUGACGCUGAGGAGCGAAAGCGUGGGGAGCAAACCGGAUUAGAUACCCUAGUAGUCC
rnacentral:rRNA from 1 species